rnacentral:rRNA from 1 species
AGUGAACGCUGGCGGUAGGCCUAACACAUGCAAGUCGAACGGCAGCACAGUAAGAGCUUGCUCUUACGGGUGGCGAGUGGCGGACGGGUGAGGAAUACAUCGGAAUCUACUUUUUCGUGGGGGAUAACGUAGGGAAACUUACGCUAAUACCGCAUACGACCUGCGGGUGAAAGCAGGGGAUCUUCGGACCUUGCGCGAUUGAAUGAGCCGAUGUCGGAUUAGCUAGUUGGCGGGGUAAAGGCCCACCAAGGCGACGAUCCGUAGCUGGUCUGAGAGGAUGAUCAGCCACACUGGAACUGAGACACGGUCCAGACUCCUACGGGAGGCAGCAGUGGGGAAUAUUGGACAAUGGGCGCAAGCCUGAUCCAGCCAUACCGCGUGGGUGAAGUAGGCCUUCGGGUUGUAAAGCCCUUUUGUUGGGAAAGAAAAGCAGCAGGUUAAUACCCCGCUGUUCUGACGGUACCCAAAGAAUAAGCACCGGCUAACUUCGUG